rnacentral:rRNA from 1 species
GAUGAACGCUGGCGGCGUGCCUAAUACAUGCAAGUCGAGCGAACAGACGAGGAGCUUGCUCCUCUGACGUUAGCGGCGGACGGGUGAGUAACACGUGGAUAACCUACCUAUAAGACUGGGAUAACUUCGGGAAACCGGAGCUAAUACCGGAUAAUAUAUUGAACCGCAUGGUACAAUAGUGAAAGACGGUUUUGCUGUCACUUAUAGAUGGAUCCGCGCCGCAUUAGCUAGUUGGUAAGGUAACGGCUUACCAAGGCAACGAUGCGUAGCCGACCUGAGAGGGUGAUCGGCCACACUGGAACUGAGACACGGUCCAGACUCCUACGGGAGGCAGCAGUAGGGAAUCUUCCGCAAUGGGCGAAAGCUUGACGGAGCAACGCCGCGUGAGUGAUGAAGGUCUUCGGAUCGUAAAACUCCGUUAUUAGGGAAGAACAAAUGUGUAAGUAACUAUGCACGUCUUGACGGUACCUAAUCAGAAAGCCACGGCUAACUACGUG